rnacentral:rRNA from 1 species
GACGAACGCUGGCGGCGUGCCUAAUACAUGCAAGUAGAACGCUGAAGGAGGAGCUUGCUCUUCUGGAUGAGUUGCGAACGGGUGAGUAACGCGUAGGUAACCUGCCUGGUAGCGGGGGAUAACUAUUGGAAACGAUAGCUAAUACCGCAUAACAGUAGAUGUUGCAUGACAUUUACUUAAAAGGUGCAAUUGCAUCACUACCAGAUGGACCUGCGUUGUAUUAGCUAGUUGGUGGGGUAACGGCUCACCAAGGCGACGAUACAUAGCCGACCUGAGAGGGUGAUCGGCCACACUGGGACUGAGACACGGCCCAGACUCCUACGGGAGGCAGCAGUAGGGAAUCUUCGGCAAUGGACGGAAGUCUGACCGAGCAACGCCGCGUGAGUGAAGAAGGUUUUCGGAUCGUAAAGCUCUGUUGUAAGAGAAGAACGAGUGUGAGAGUGGAAAGUUCACACUGUGACGGCAUCUUACCAGAAAGGGACGGCUAACUACGUG